rnacentral:lncRNA from 1 species
CCGAAUAGGAACAGCUCCGGUCUACAGCUCCCAGCGUGAGCGACGCAGAAGACGGGUGAUUUCUGCAUUUCCAUCUGAGUUCUUUCUGCAGAUGAUAAAACAUCAGUUGAAGAAGUUCAUUUGGGUAAAGAGAUGGAUAAUAUUUGGAUAUACAUGAACUCUUGGACCAUCAUCAAUAGCUUUGUUCUAUAUUAAGGCAUAAGGACAGAUGCUGAUACCAUCUCCUUUACAAGACUUGAAAUUUCUACCUUUGAACCAUGCAGGUCAUUUUGUUACUGUCAGUGGUCAGCAUAUCUACUGCGUUGUUGUGAACCAGGAUGACGUAUUGUUAAGGCAAUUAUCCGUGUUGAAGAGAAACACGUCGCUGCUGCUUGCUUGAUGUGGCUGCAACAACAAAGCUGUUUUGACUACUCUAGGACUUGAAGCUGCUAUUCCCUCAUGAUCCUGACACCUGGAAUUUGCACCUCACAGGACCCCAGCCUUGCUGCUCUGCCCAUUGACCUCUGCCACCCUCCAUACCGGGUGUGAGUUACCACCAGAAGAAGUCU